AACAAGCAGAGAUUAAAAAAAAAAAAAGGCAGCGAUCCCAGCCAGUCAGCGAGCCGAGAAAUUACCCAGCAGAUUACAAAAGAGAGAUAUAGUGUUUUAAUUAGUCAGCUUUACGGGUUCCUGGGUGGCAUGUGUGCUCUGUUCAUCCAGCUCAGGCCAGCUUUCUGUGUUUAUGGUCUGUAACGUUAAAAACAACUUUAUGGUCAUUAAAGUUACUUUUACAACCAGAAUAAUCAGAAUAGAUUAUGGUGCAGGACAGUACAAGUUAUUUGAGGUGAUAAAAAACAAACAAACAAACAAACAUGUGAUUGUAAUUCAAGAAAAUGAAAUUUCUUACUAUAAGUUUGUACUGGCGGUGCUGUUUAGGUUGGGAAGGAAACAUAGCAAAUACUUGCCAAAGGCAUAGCAAACCCUUUGAUUUAUUUUUUUUUUUUCACAUUUUGUCGUGUUGUAACAACACAUUUCAGUGUGUUUUUUUUAUUAGUGAAGUGGAAAGAAAAUGAAUUUUCCAUUAUUUUACAAAAAACCCCAAAAAAACUUCUGAAAGGUGCUGUGUGCAUUUCUAUUCAGCCCAUUUUAGACCAACACGCCUAAAUUGAAUCCAGUGUUACCAACUGUUUACAGAAGUAGCAUGGUGUGUAGUUUGUAAACUAAUCUCACUAUAAAUACAACUUUUCCGUGAGUAAACUAAACUGACAGGCUAAGUAAGGAUAGUAUUAAACAGAGUAUCAGUGGAAAUGCCCAUGGUGACUCUGGAGGAGCUGCAAAGAUCCACACAAGAUUGGGAAGAAGAAAGCAAUUGAACAAAUGCUAACUGAAGUCCUUUUUACAGUUUGCCAGUUUGUAAGUGAAACUAUCGGAACUGAAAAUAUUCAUUUGUCUUUAGUAAAAUAGCUUCAUGUAUACCAAACCUUGUCAAAUCCAAGGGGUCACAUUAGAAAGUGUUUGUUAACAGAGCAGCUUUGCUUUUCAUUUUCACAUGGAUCUAUUGUUUUACAGGUUUACCUGGCCAAGUUGGAUUUUAGCUGCAUUAAAUGAAGAAUCAGUUUCCAACUACGUGCCAGCAGUCUGCAACGGCCGCGAGGUGGUGGACUCCACAACGUCCUCUUUGUGAAAAGGUUCCUCUGAAAGCACAAGAAACCAACCAUCCCCAGCAUCAGCCGUCCUUCCAUCAAACGUGGCCCCUAACUACGACGGGAGCCCUCUCCCUUCCCUUGACACCUCGCGUGUUGCAGAGAGAUAACGGUCAGGGUAGAACGACUGGCAGCGACGAGAGCAACUCUAACUGUGAAAGCUAAAAGAUGUUCAAUCUUCCGAGCCGUAUGUAACAAAGCCUUUUUUUUGUAUAGAUUUUAAACGCUGUGAUCGCCUUUGGUUUACAGAUAGAUGUGAUUACCUGCACCGUGCCUUGUCUUUAAAGAGUCUUAUUGUGACAUGGGUGGUUGUGAAGCAAUAGUGUAAUACAAAAUGCUGUUCUUAUCUAGUCCUAACAGUGUUGUGAAUAUAUCCAAAUGUUUUAGACAUUGUCAAAAAAAA